rnacentral:rRNA from 1 species
AAGAAGGCCUUCGGGUUGUAAAGCACUUUCAGUAGGNAAGAAGGCAGUGUCGUUAAUAGCNGCAUUGUUUGACGUUACCUACAGAAGAAGCACCGGCUAACUCGGUGCCAGCAGCCGCGGUAAUACGGAGGGUGCGAGCGUUAAUCGGAAUUACUGGGCGUAAAGCGCAUGCAGGCGGUCUGUUAAGCAAGAUGUGAAAGCCCGGGGCUCAACCUCGGAACAGCAUUUUGAACUGGCAGACUAGAGUCUUGUAGAGGGGGGUAGAAUUUCAGGUGUAGCGGUGAAAUGCGUAGAGAUCUGAAGGAAUACCGGUGGCGAAGGCGGCCCCCUGGACAAAGACUGACGCUCAGAUGCGAAAGCGUGGGGAGCAAACAGGAUUAGAUACCCUGGUAGUCCACGCCGUAAACGAUGUCUACUUGGAGGUUGUGGCCUUGAGCCGUGGCUUUCGGAGCUAACGCGUUAAGUAGACCGCCUGGGGAGUACGGUCGCAAGAUUAAAACUCAAAUGAAUUGACGGGGGCCCGCACAAGCGGUGGAGCAUGUGGUUUAAUUCGAUGCAACGCGAAGAACCUUACCUACUCUUGACAUCCAGAGAACUUUCCAGAGAUGGAUUGGUGCCUUCGGGAACUCUGAGACAGGUGCUGCAUGGCUUGUCGUCAGCUCGUGUUGUGAAAUGUUGGGUUAAAGUCCCGCAACGAGCGCAACCCUUAUCCUUGUUUGCCAGCACUUCGGGUGGGAACUCCAGGGAGACUGCCGGUGAUAAACCGGAGGAAGGUGGGGACGACGUCAAGUCAUCAUGGCCCUUACGAGUAGGGCUACACACGUGCUACAAUGGCGUAUACAGAGGGCUGCCAACUUGCGAGAAGUGAGCGAAUNCCAAAAAGUACCUCGUAAUCCGGAUUGGAGUCUGCAACUCGACUCCAUGAAGUCGGAAUCGCUAGUAAUCGUGAAUCAGAAUGUCACGGUGAAUACGUUCCCGG